UCAGAACAUGGCAGUGGCAAAUCUUCUCUCCAGAAACCUGGCAAGAAAACCCUGAGAUAGGUUUGCCUUAGGGUCACCAUAAGUCAGAAAGGACUUGGAGGCAAACAAAAGCAACAACCAAUGACAUCUUAAGUAUCUGGAUUAUUUGUAGGGUCUUUGCACUCUCCUUUGUCAGGCUGCAGCUAAGGGAUUUGUGACUUUUUCCCAGGGCCUCACAGCAAAAUCCAUGAAGCAGGUGGGACCUGAUCCUUCUGGGUUUUAUUCUUCCAGCUGAUGGUGCUUUGGAUCUCUCUGGGGCAUCCCUUUCUUUGGCUGAGGUGGCCUUCAACUGGGAGAGUUGCCCUGGAGGACCUAGAGCAGGGGUAGGCAAGGCAACCUUUAUGAGCCGGGGGCCGGGUUGCUGUCCCUCAGACAACUGGGGGGCCAAAGUCGAAAAAUAAAUAAUUAAACAUUUUUUUAAAAAAAUUAAUUAUAUAAAUAAGCCAGUACUCUUUGUACUGUAAAUAAUGCAUCAGCAUCGGCAAACCCAUCAACCUCACCAUUCACCUCCAAUUCCAGGCCAUUUCUGAACAUGUUGAAACACACACACACAGGCAGCAGCCCCAAACACAGAUCCCCAAGGGACCUCUGUGCCCACGCCAUCCGUUUAUCCUGAAGGACACAUGGGGCUUGGUGCGUGCCCCAUUCCUCCCACCCCAAUGGGGGUCAUUGCCCCACUGUCCCAACCUGAGAGCCAAAGACUACAAGCAGUGCCCAUGUUAAUGAAUGACCAGAGCCAGGGGGCAAGUGGGAUGGCAUGUGCCCUCCAAAGCCCUGCUGCUCACAGACAGCCUUCAGCUCAGAUCUGCCCCGGACCUUCCUCUCCGACACCAUGAAGAUCCUGGCUGUGGGGCUUGUUUUGGCCAUUGCCAUAGGACCUGAAGCUUUCGUUGUUAGAGCAAACCAACCCUUUCCAACACUCAAAUUGCACGCAAUAAUCGACGGGAUUUCGGGACUCAUGAUCGAUGGCUAUGUUAAAGUGA